rnacentral:rRNA from 1 species
CAAUAGCGUAUAUUAAAGUUGUUGCGGUAAAAAGCUCGUAGUUGGAUUUCUACCGAAGAUAGCCGGUCGGGUCUUCGACCUUGUAUCUGGUUUUGUCUUUGGUAUCCUCAUAGGGAACGUUUCUGCGCUUUAUUGCGUGGUGCGGUAUCUAUGACUUUUACUUUGAGGAAAUUAGAGUGUUCACGGCAGGCAAACGCCUUGAAUAUAUUAGCAUGGAAUAAUAACAUAGGAUCUUCGUCCUAUUUUGUUGGUUUCUAGGGCUAAGAUAAUGAUUAAUAGGGAUAAUUGGGGGCAUCUGUAUCAACGCGUCAGAGGUGGAAUUCUUGGAUUGCGUUGCGACAAACUACUGCGAAAGCAUUUGCCAAGGAUGUUUUCAUUGA